GACGAACGCUGGCGGCGUGCUUAACACAUGCAGGUAGAACGGAAAGGCCCUGCUUUUGUGGGGUGCUCGAGUGGCGAACGGGUGAGUAACACGUGAGUAACCUGCCCUUGACUUUGGGAUAACUUCAGGAAACUGGGGCUAAUACCGGAUAGGAGCUCCUGCUGCAUGGUGGGGGUUGGAAAGUUUCGGCGGUUGGGGAUGGACUCGCGGCUUAUCAGCUUGUUGGUGGGGUAGUGGCUUACCAAGGCUUUGACGGGUAGCCGGCCUGAGAGGGUGACCGGCCACAUUGGGACUGAGAUACGGCCCAGACUCCUACGGGAGGCAGCAGUGGGGAAUAUUGCACAAUGGGCGGAAGCCUGAUGCAGCAACGCCGCGUGCGGGAUGACGGCCUUCGGGUUGUAAACCGCUUUCGCCUGUGACGAAGCGUGAGUGACGGUAAUGGGUAAAGAAGCACCGGCUAACUACGUG
rnacentral:rRNA from 1 species